AAUGGAAGGCAUUCAUUUUACACCACCUGAAGUUUACAAAUAUAUUUCGCAGAGCAAGGCAUGGCAGUUUUAUAUUGCAACUCACAAUAAUGCUGGCAAUUAUUUGAUUGGAUUAGCAGCUGGUGCCUACUACAAAGAGUGGAAAAGUAUCGCAAUAAAAAGUAUUUUUAAAAAGUAUCCAGUGACCAUCAUUAUUCUUUUAUGCUUGAUUGGCAUGAUACCUUACGGGACAUCAAUCAU